CUUUCUUAAUUUGUUUCAUUUUUAUUUAAUAGAUUGCAGUUUGUUAAAUAUAAAAAUUUAAUUUCAAUACCUAUAUCUGUAAUUUCUGGUAUCCCCCUAGGAGACUACCUUUCUACUCUUCUUUUUAAUUUAUUUAUUAAUAUAUUAUAUUUACUUUAAAUAAUUCUAACAUUUUGCUUUUUGCUGGUGAUACAAACAUUUUCAAAGUAAUUAGUUCCCUGGAAGAUGCGGAACUAUUAUAAAUUAAUUUGAAUAAUAUUUAUAAUUGGUGCAAUUCUAACAAAAUGACCCUAAACAUAAAUAAAUGUAACAUUAUAUCUUUCUCCAAAAUACAUUAUCUUAUAACAUUUAACUAUAAUUUAGAUUCUUGUAAUUUUUAUCAAGUUCUUCAGAUAAUAGACUGGUAUCAGUUUUGAUUCUAAAGGUUUAUUUAAUUAACAUUUAUUAGAAAUUACCAAAAAAAGCUCUAUUGGUUUUUGGUAAAAUUAACCGGAACUGUUUUCAGUUUAAUAAUCCUAUCACAUUCAAAUAACAUCUGGAGUACCCUAGUCUAAUUUGGGAAACCAAUACUCUAAGCCAUAGCAACCAAAUUGAAUCUAUUAAAAAUAAAGUUCUUUGCUAUAUAACUUAUAAAUGAAAUAUUACCAGACAACCGCAUUCUGCGUAUGAAAGUAUUCUUCAAUUAUUAAAUUUAAAAACCUUGAAAGAUAGAAGAUUUAAUUAUUACACCAUGUUUCUGGAAAAAUUUAAAUAAUGAGAUUAAUGAUUCCUUCCUUUCAAGUUUAAUAAACUUUAAAACAAAUCAUUACAAUAUACGUGACAAGAACCUCUUUUAUAUCCCACAGUAGUCUAAACAAUAUUUAGUAUGUUCUUCUAUUAAUUUAAUACAAUCUGUUAGUAAUAUAUUCUCUAAUGAUAAAUUAUUUACAUAUUGCUAAGGUAGUGUUUUGUUUAUUUCCUUUAUUUAUACGGUUAUUUACUAAUUUAUAUAAUGGAAAACCUAAUUAAUAAUGUGAAUUACAAGUAACUUAAAUGUAAUUUGUUUAUAUUCUUUAUAGUUAUUACCUAAUUUUAUGGUACUACCAAAGUGUUCAUUAUUAUAUGAUUUUUCAAUAAAUUUAGACCUAUAUCUGUUAUAAAAAAAAAAAGUAAUAAUAUAUAUAUACUAUACAGGCUGUUCCACGAAUAUAUCCCUUGAAUAUCUCCGGAGAAAAUAGAAAUAAUCAUAUUAUAUUUUUUUAUAUUACAAGAAUAAGUACUACAUAUAGUAAUAUUUCAAUCAUUUUUUUUUUUUCUGAAUUUUUUAAUGUAUCACACAUUUAUAUCCGAUGAAUAGUUUCUAAGUAACAGCCGUUUUAAAUUCUACUAAUCUGUGUGAAAACCGAUGUUAUUGCGUUAAGCAGUUAAGUUAUUCUCUAGAUAACAUUAGUUUUUACACGGAUUAGUAGAGUUUAAAACAGUUGUUAAAUAGAAACUAUUCAUCGGGUAUAAAUUUGUCAUACAUUAUAAUUUGCAGACAAAUAAUCUCUACAGAAGAGUUAUUUUCAAAUUUUCCAAAAAUAAUAAAACAAAUUUAUUUUUUUUUAAAAAAAAAAUUAAUUUAAAUAUAAAUAUUUUUAAUCUUCAUUCUU
rnacentral:lncRNA from 1 species